rnacentral:rRNA from 1 species
AGGGGAGCUGUCCUUAGUACGAGAGGACCGGGAUGGACGAACCGCUGGUGUGCCAGUUGUCCGCAGGGCACAGCUGGGUAGCUACGUUCGGAAGGGAUAACCGCUGAAAGCAUCUAAGUGGGAAGCCCGCCCCAAGAUAAGACUUCGAUUGAGACCCCUAUUAGACUAAUAGGUAGAUAGGCAGCAAGUGAAGGCUCCGUAAGGAGAAAGCUAAGCUGUACUAAUGGUCAAGAGCUUCACGCAC